CAUUAUAGCUUCAGAGAGAUUUUCAACCAAAGGAGCUACCAGAGGUGUCAGUCCUGAAAGGGCAUCUUGGAGUUUAAGGAAGCCUUGCUGAAAGACAUAGGCCAAGCCCUUAGAACUGCCUGAGAGGCAGAGGCCCAAAGAAGCCAACAGUGGGGCAUAAGGAGGAGGCUCCUCCUCGGACAAGAUGUCCAAGCUCACAUGCCUCAAAGUGUAUAGAAGUCUCUGCACCUGACAAAAGGCUUCUGCAGUCCCCCCAGAACUCCCCCCAGUUCUCAGGAUUACAAAGAAGAUGGAGAGACAAAGAUAGGCUGGACAUCACAGUGGGGGAAAGUGCUUUGAGAAAACACAGCAGGCUCACAAGCUUCAUUACAAAAUAUACAGGAGGAUGAAUCUUCCCCUAAAUAUUUGUUGUUUGCUGCACAGAUCUGACAUAAUUAAGAACUGCUAGAGCUACUAUUUUCCAGAUGUUACAGCCUUGUUCAGAGGUCAGAUUUCAAAGAAAGCAAAAGACUGAAGAUCUUGACAGAUGAAGGAAGCAGAAUUUUCUACUAACCUGAAUAACACCAAUGAAAGGAACCAGAAGUUUCUCAUUGCUUCCAGCUCAGAGUAAGUCAGCUGGAAAGAAAGGUGGCGGGGAGGAGGAGUGGGAGAAUGGAGAAAGAAAAGAAGGAAAGAAAAGAAAAGAAUAUGAUCAUUAAGAUUUGCUUCUACAGAGGGGCACCUGGGUGGCUCAGUCAGUUAAACAUCUAACUUUGGCUCAGGUCAUGAUCCCACAGUUCAUGAGUUCGACUUCCAUGUUAGGCUCUGGACUGACAGCCUGGAGCCUGCUUCGGAUUCUGUGUCUCCCUCUCUCUGUCCCUCCCCUGCUCACACUCUGUCUCUCUCUCUCAAAAAUAAAAUAAAAGAGAAACAUUAAAAAUUUUUUAAAAAAUAUUUCUACACUUUUUUUAAUGUUUAUUUUUGAGAGAAAGAGAGAGGAAGGGAGGGGCAGAGAGAGAAAGGGAGAUACAGAAUCUGAAGCUAGCUCCAGACUCUGAGCUGUCAGCACAGAGCCCAACACGGGGCUCAAACUCACAAACUGUGAGAUCAUGACCUGAGCCAAAGUCAGACACUUAACCAAAUGAGCCACUCAGGCGUCCCUCCUUCUACAGAAACUUUUAAUCAUUUGUGGGCAAUGCUGGAAGAAAAGGUAGAAAUAAUUUGAAAAAAUUAAAAGCGGAUAAAUGGGGCACCUGGGUGACUCAGUCAGUUAAGCAUCUGACUUCAGUUCAGGUCAUGAUCUCGUGGUUUGUGGCUUCGAGCCCUGCAUCAGGUUCUGUACUGACAGCUCAGAGCCUAGAUUCUGUGUCUCCCUCUCUCUCUAUCCCUCCCCUGCUUGUGCUCUGCCUCUCUCUC